rnacentral:rRNA from 1 species
GUCCUAGCCCUAAACGAUCAGGACUUGGGGUGCAUCCCGACGGGGUGCGUCCCGUAGCUAACGCGUUAAGUCCUGCGCCUGGGGAGUACGGUCGCAAGACUGAAACUCAAAGGAAUUGACGGGGCCCGCACAAGCGGUGGAACAUGUGGUUCAAUUCGACGCAACGCGAAGAACCUUACCUGGGCUUGAACCGCUACUGACCAACGGUGGAAACAUCGUCUUCUCGCAAGAGACAGUAGUAGAGGUGCUGCAUGGCUGUCGU